rnacentral:rRNA from 1 species
GACGAACGCUGGCGGCGUGCCUAACACAUGCAAGUCGAGCGAAUGAAGUUCCUUCGGGAAUGGAUUUAGCGGCGGACGGGUGAGUAACACGUGGGCAACCUGCCUCAUAGAGGGGAAUAGCCUUCCGAAAGGGAGAUUAAUACCGCAUAAGAUUGUAGUACCGCAUGAUACAGCAAUUAAAGGAGCAAUCCGCUAUGAGAUGGGCCCGCGGCGCAUUAGCUAGUUGGUGAGGUAACGGCUCACCAAGGCGACGAUGCGUAGCCGACCUGAGAGGGUGAUCGGCCACAUUGGGACUGAGACACGGCCCAGACUCCUACGGGAGGCAGCAGUGGGGAAUAUUGCACAAUGGGGGAAACCCUGAUGCAGCAACGCCGCGUGAGUGAUGACGGCCUUCGGGUUGUAAAGCUCUGUCUUCAGGGACGAUAAUGACGGUACCUGAGG